UACGAAGGGGGCUAGCGUUGCUCGGAAUCACUGGGCGUAAAGCGCACGUAGGCGGCUUGUUAAGUCAGGGGUGAAAUCCCGGAGCUCAACUCCGGAACUGCCUUUGAUACUGGCAAGCUUGAGUUCGGGAGAGGUGAGUGGAACUGCGAGUGUAGAGGUGAAAUUCGUAGAUAUUCGCAAGAACACCAGUGGCGAAGGCGGCUCACUGGCCCGGAACUGACGCUGAGGUGCGAAAGCGUGGGGAUCAAAC
rnacentral:rRNA from 1 species